rnacentral:lncRNA from 1 species
ACCACUCUCGUUACGAUCCAACGGCUCAGAUUUAACGUCGCCUCCUGGCUGUUGUAGCUGCAGAUCAUUAUACGGAUCCGACCCGACAUCCCUCCACCGUUUCAUCCCUAUUGUUACACCAAAUAAUCUAGGGUUCAUCAACUCAUCUGUACCUUCUAAACCACCAUUACUUCCACAGGUGGUGUUGCUGUUGCCUAUACACUCCUCUGCUAACCGCUUCAACGGUAACAGAUCUAGCGGUUCAAUCGUCUUCCUCACUUCCUGCUGUGAACUGCUUCCUUCUGACUGUUUAUCCCCAGCCUGAACGUUUUCUCUCCGUAACCGCUCGUUUUCGCCAACGAGCUCAGCGUUGUUACUUCCUCCUGAUGUUUCACGAGAAAGAAUAGGUGUACCACUACCACCACCUCGUGAUGAGUUAGAUGACAGGACUUGUUCUUCGCCGGAACCGCUAGGGGAAACCGCUCUGAUUGGCUGAGAUGCUACUGUGACAAUCGGUGUAGCUGUAACCGUUGGCGGUGGAGCUUGUGGUUGCGUCGGUGAAGCUGCUGCUGCUGAAAUCUUCCGACGUUGAAUAUCGCUUAACAGAUGCUUCUCUCCUCUACGGAAACAAUCGUUAGAGAACUCCCAGCGAUCAGGUAUUCAACUGACGGACAAAACUCGAGAAAUUAUUGUGUUUAAAGUAUUUCGGAAGCAAAUCCUUAGCGAAUUCUGUAGGAUUCCAGACGAUAAACGUAGAUCCAUCUUCGUUCCAGGAGAUGACGUCAUCAAUGGUCUUAUCUUCAACGAGCUGGUAAGUUUUCGUGAGAAACGGCGUCGGGAGAGAUCUAGCAGCCGCGUCACCACCAGCCGGUGAGUCCACGCCGCCGCUGCGGUGGUCUCCUGGAGGAGGAGCCAUCACGAGCUUCAAAAUACUAAAAAUGAAUCCAGAUUUCAAAGAAGAUAAUUAUUAGAUUAGAAAGAUAUCGAAAGGAAAUUAGAUUAGAUUAGAAUACGAAUACAUAUGGUUAAUCGGAUGAAGAGGUAAUCAAUCAAUCUACGUUGAUAGAUCUGAGAUGAAGGAAUGAGGAUUCUAGAAGGUUCUGGGAGGGGCGAGAGAGGGUGGAUAGGGAGGAGAGAGAAAGAAGGAGAUGGAAAAGAAAGAAAAUGGGGUGGAAGAGGAAAGAACGAGAAGGUACGCAAAGGAAAUGAUGAAGCUUCCUUUUCUCCAUUGGAUUUGGUUACGUGUCAGCUUCUUGGUUGUUCGAUCAAACUAUUGUGAUCAUCAAUUCAACAUCCACAAUGUCAAUUAUGGUUGGCAUAUCAUUUCUUGAUUCUUCUUUUAUUACUGUUCAUUCUUCAAUUAUUUUAGUUUUAUUUAUUAUUUAUGUUUUUUUAAUAAAUUCUAUCACUAAAAAUAGUUAUUAUGUAAUCGUUAUUUGGAAUAUUAUAUCAAAUCAGCUUUUCUAUU